ensembl:lincRNA
CGGAGCGGGGACGCGGGGAGCCCGCGGGCCGCGGACGCCUGUUGGCGCGUCCCGCCCCGGGCAUCGGCAGGGCCCUUGCAGCAGCCCCCGGGAGGUGGCGGGAGGGAGGGUAAGCCGGGGUGCGGCGGCGAGGGCUGGGUGCGGGGUCUUCCCCAGACUCUCCGGAACCCCGCUGGGCUUCCGAGGCGCCCCGAAAGACUUUCCUCAGAGGAGGCUGCCGGCCGCUGCUUCUCCUGCCCACUUCGCUCCCGUCCCCGCGCGGGGCACCCUCGUGCCGUGCACCCUCCGUGGCGCCCCCCCGGGGACUGGGUUGCAAGUCUGGGGCGAAUCAUCUUUUCACAAAACCAGAAUUCCUUGCUGCCUUGGUUUUGUGCCUUCGAUCCCCUCUGUGCGCCCCCAGCUCGGCUGCAGCGCCGACCCUCGGAGCGGGCAGAGCCCUUCAGGGCCCCGCGGGCCGCAGCACCCCGCGCGCUGCUCCUGGCGCACGGAGUGGGUCCACCGUGCAGGGACCAUUCUGAUCCCCCACCGGCAGGCAGUUCAGACACCCGACCCCGCAGCCCAGCCCAACCGGAGCCAAAACAGCUCUCUCAUUCCUCUGCAUCCUGUAAAUCCACAAGAUGGCCCUUCCUCUUCACCAAGGCAGUCCCCAGUUCCGAGUCCAGAGGGACUACAGAGAUAUGCAGAAUUGCAGACUGUCCAUACACUGAAGUCCUCAUCGGCCCUUAGGUCCCUCCCAAGAUUCAGCCUGGCCGCACAGCUCACCUGCUAAGUGACAGGAUCAGGCUCCCUAACCUCUUUGAGCCUCAGUCUUCUCGUCCACAAAAUGAAGGUAAUGAUACAUAGGGGAAAAGAGUGAUACAGGCCAGGCGUAGUGGUGCAUGCCUGUAAUCCUAGCACUCAGGAAGCAGAGGCAGGACGGUUGCUGGGAGUUCAAGACCAGCCUGGGCUACAUAGUGAACUCAAGGCCAGCCUGAACUAUACAGUGAGACCCUGUCUCAAAAAAGAAAAAGUAAUAAGAAUUACACGUGAGGCUAGGGAUAUAGCUCAGUGGCUUAAGCACCUGCCUGGCAAGUACGAGGUUGUGAGUUUGAUUCCCAGUACCGGAAAAAAAAAAAAUAAAAAAAAUAAAAAUGGAACCAACCACAGAGAGGUAACAUGAAGCAUCCAAAAUUCAUUGAAAAAUUGGGACCCUUACCUGACUAACCCUAGGUUGAAGACAGAUUUCUCCAUCACUUUGCAGUGCGUGACGAUAUGUCCAGGAACUCUGAACACCUUGUUUGCCUCAAAGCUUUGGAAAUCAAGAUACUGGGUGGGCACUAUUCUUCCAUGCAGCUUACUUAGCAACACUACUUUAAAAAGCCCUUACUAAGGGGCUGGGGAUUUAGCUCAGCGGCAAAAGCACUUGCCUGGCAAGCGCAAGGUCGUGAGUUCGGUUCCUGGUACCGGAGAAAAAAACAAAAAAAAAACAAAAAAACCAAACAAAAAAAAUAAAAAGCCCUUACUCUGCGGUUAAUUUGUAUUUGCACCUAUUUGUGUUUGCGUCAGUUUCGGAGCCUCUACAGAAUUAGUAGAUGCUGUUAUUAGAAGGCAGCUUUUUGUGUAGCCUGGCACAGUGGUGCACAUUUAUAAUCCCAGCUACGCAGCUGAGGCAGGAGGAUCUCAGGUUCAAGGCCAGCCUGGGCAACUUAGUGAGACCCUGUUUCAAAACUGGAAAGGAUUGGAGAUGUAGCUCAGCACUGCCUAGGUUCAAUCUCAAGUACCACAGAAGAAAGAAUUCUAAUUUUAGUCAGGCAUGAUGUCGCAUACCUAUAGUCUGUGAGUUCAAGGCCAGCUGAAACUCCAUAGCAAGACCUUGUCUCAAAAACACAAAAAAAUGUUUUUCAAUGAGGGCUGGGGAAGUAGCUUAGUACAAAGGGCCUGGGUUCAAUCCCCAGUGCCAUAAUUAAAUAAAAAAAUGUAUAUUCGUGAUCCUAAAGCUGCUGCUCAUACAGGCUUCUAUAGAGCCAUUUCUUUUUCUUCUUUUAUUCUGUGACACAGAAACAGAAGUAUGUUGGUAAAAAAAAAAAUGAAUAAAUAAGUAUGACUUGUAAAAAAAAAGAAUUAUAUUGGUCACAAACUCAGAAGUACAUUCCUCUUUCUUUUUUAGAUAGGGUCUUGUUGUGUAGUUCAGGCUAGACUUGAACUCACUAUGUAACCCAGGCUAUCCUCCUGCCUCAGCCUCCCAAGCUACAUUAUUCCUUCUUUAUAUUAAAAAGAAAAAGGAUGAAUGAUGAGAUUUAUGAAAGAAUUCAUAAAAUACAUUUAGGGACAGUUGUUUCUUGGUCAAGUGAAUGGGAAAUUUAAGAUAUAUAUGAAACUUAGCUGUUCUUGAUUACUAUAAGCCUUUGCCUUUUUUAAAAAACAUGUACAAGGGUUUUGUUGUGUUUUGUUUUGUUUUGAGACAUGGUCUCACUAUAUAGUUAAGGCUGGCCUUGAGCUCAUGAUAGCCCAGGCCUCCAGAGGGCCGAGAUUACAGGUGUAUGCCACCACACCCAGCAGGGUUAUGCUUCUAAAAUUUUUUUUUUUUUUUUUUUUUAGGUUUUAAAAACUCGGCACAGACAGGCGUGGUGGCACACACCUGUGAUCUUAGCACCCAGGAGGCUGAGGCAGGAGGAUCCUUGCAAGUUCAAGACCAGCUUUGGCUACAAAGUGAGCUCAAGGCCAGCCUGAACUGCAGAGUGAGACCCUGUCUCAAAAAAGACAAAAAAACAAACAAAACAAAACACUCCCAGCACUUAUUCUCCUCCCAGACUACAUUUUUCUUUAGGCUAUUUUCUUUCCUUCUUUGGUCUUUUUCACCUUCGAGGCUGCACUGCUCUCUCUCUCUCUCUCUCUCUCUCUCUCUCUCUCUCUCUCUCUCUCUCUCUCUCUCUCUCUCUCUCUUACACACACACACACACACACACACACACACAAGCCUUCUUGGGCUUCUUGCUGUGUCCCCCACCGCUCCGUUGCACUAGGGCCUUGACACCUGCUGCUCCCUGCCUGGAACACUGUGUCCCAGAGCAGAUGUGGCUGGCUCCUUAUCAGUCAGGUCUCAGUUCAAAUGUCAUUUCCUCAGACAGGCUGUCCCUGACCACCCACUGCAGCAUAUCAACCUAUUUCUUUUUUUUUUUUCAUGCCUUUAACCCAGUUAAAUAAAUCUAACUUGGGGACAGAGGAAGAGAAGAUAAGAUGAUAAAAAUGAUCAAAGUGUGUUAUGUGCAUGUACAAAUCUGCUAAAAUAAAACCCACUAAUCUGUGGGUAGCCAAUUUUUUGGGGGGUAGCCAAUUUUUAAGGGUGGAAAAAUACAAACAAGUGUACAGAUGAAAAUGUAAAAAAAAAAAGGCCAGGCAUGGUGGUGCACACCUGUAAUCCCAACACUCAGGAGGCUGAGGCAGGAGGAUCGUUAUAAGUUCAAGACCAGCCUGGGCUACAAAGUGAGCUCAAACUGCAUAGCGACACCCUGUCUCAAAAAGACCAAAAAAAAGAAAAAAAUCUAGCAUGGAGCUGGCUGUAUCACUCAACAGCAAAGCAGUUGUUUUAUCAUGUGCAAGGCUAGGUUCAAUCCCCAGCACCACCACCAAAAAAAAUUGUCUAAACCCAUCAAACGUCCAGCAUGCAGAGUGAGCCCUGACAUGCACUGUGGACUCUGGGUGGUAAGGACGUCAGUGCGGGUUCCUCAGCUUCAGCCAGUGCACCCCCUCGGGCUCGGAGGGGCUGGGCAUGCGUGGGCCGGAAGUACACAGGAUAUCGCUGUGUCUUCAGUUUUGCUGCAAACCUAAAACCACUCUGAAAAAUAAAGUUAAUCAUCUUGCUCAUUUGCCUGUUACUUAUUUACCAUCUGUCUCCCGGCUAGACUGCUCACUUCCCUUGAAAGCCCCGACCCUGGGGCCAGUUCACAGCUGAUACCCGCUCCUAGAGCAGUGCCUGGCUCCUUAUCGAAGCUCAGUAACUAUUUGUUGAGAGAAGGAAUAAAUGAUUAUUAGUGUUGAUUUAGAUAUUGUUCUCUGAGCGCUGAACUGGCACUAUUCACAGAUACGUCAAGUGAGGCUAGAAUUGACCAACUGGGAAAAUUCAGGCUUUUUUAGAAAAACCACUUCAAUUUUGGCAUCUUGGUGGAGAUCUUGGCACUGCCUUCCCCUGCACCGGCAGUGUUUGCCAGCCUCCGGCACCGAAAAGCACUGCAGGAGCUCUGCUCGGUGAGCAGACCCCCAGCCCCGGUGGGUGAGGUCCCCUGUCACUCUACCCAACAGAUGAAUCCGGUCAGAAGAGUUCCCACAUCCGCCCCCGUGGUGUCCAGUCCGGAGCCGAAGGAGGAAGUUGAUGGGGAAGUGGCGGGGGAGGCCUCUCCAUCUUUGAAUACUUCAUAUGGGCAAACUGAAUUAUAUCCCAAGCUAUUACAUUUUUCAAAUCUGUCCAGAAGAAACUAGAUGUGCAUUCAGGAGGCCCACGCCUUGGCCCCGGAACUAUAGAAAAUACAGAAAGAAACAUGUACAAGGCUGUUGCCCUGGCGGUAGAUUGACAUCUCAGAAAACUAAGCACCUGCCUGGGUGCUCAGGACCCAGGGAAGACGCCUCCCAGCAAAGCCAGCCUUGAGCCCUGGCCAGAAGGAAGUGGGGGAGCCUGGCAGGAGAAGGGAGUUCCCUGCUCUGCCCCUUGUCCUAUCGCAGAGAGCCUGAGUGAGGGGUGUACGCAGGGAAAGUCGAAGGCAUUUUCAAAUUGAAAGCUUCCCACUGCAUCCUGUCCAUUCUGCACUGGAGAGCCGCCUUUACCAACGUUAAUGAACACAAAUGGACUAGUCUGGGAGCCAGCUUUCGAAAACACCUGCUGUUCUUGCCCUCUGCCCCUCUAACAAUCUAUUUCCAGUCCCGGGGCCCCCUCCCCCUGCCCCUGUGCCCAGUACUAUUAUUUCUGCCUAGGAGGAAAGAUUGGGGCCGGGGUUGACUGUAGCAAAACAUAUGGUAUUCCUGGAAAUGAUCUUUCCAUGGUAGGUGCAACCAAAAUAGCAUCGGCUCCAC